AUUGAACGCUAGCGGGAUGCUUUACACAUGCAAGUCGAACGGCAGCGCGGACUUCGGUCUGGCGGCGAGUGGCGAACGGGUGAGUAAUGUAUCGGAACGUGCCCAGUAGCGGGGGAUAACUACGCGAAAGCGUAGCUAAUACCGCAUACGCCCUACGGGGGAAAGCAGGGGAUCGUAAGACCUUGCACUAUUGGAGCGGCCGAUAUCGGAUUAGCUAGUUGGUGUGGUAACGGCUCACCAAGGCGACGAUCCGUAGCUGGUUUGAGAGGACGAACAGCCACACUGGGACUGAGACACGGCCCAGACUCCUACGGGAGGCAGCAGUGGGGAAUUUUGGACAAUGGGGGCAACCCUGAUCCAGCCAUCCCGCGUGUGAGAUGAAGGCCUUCGGGUUGUAAAGCACUUUUGGCAGGAAAGAAACGUCGCGGGCUAAUACCUCGUGGAACUGACGGUACCUGCAGAAUAAGCACCGGCUAACUACGUG
rnacentral:rRNA from 1 species